rnacentral:lncRNA from 1 species
CGGCUUCCUGGGAGAGAGCGGCGCCUGGAAACUCAGAAAAGUGAUGAGAAAGGAGACCUCCGAAUCGGGCAGCCCAGAGCCGCCUGGACCCCACUCCAGGUCUUCUCCCUUGCUGUGCCCCUGGACAUCCC